rnacentral:rRNA from 1 species
CAGCAGCCACGGUAAAACGUAGGUGGCAAGCGUUGUCCGGAAUUAUUGGGCGUAAAGGGCUCGCAGGCGGUUUCUUAAGUCUGAUGUGAAAGCCCCCGGCUCAACCGGGGAGGGUCAUUGGAAACUGGGAAACUUGAGUGCAGAAGAGGAGAGUGGAAUUCCACGUGUAGCGGUGAAAUGCGUAGAGAUGUGGAGGAACACUAGUGGCGAAGGCGACUCUCUGGUCUGUAACUGACGCUGAGGAGCGAAAGCGUGGGGAGCGAACAGGAUUAGAUACCCGUGUAGUCCCUGUCUCUUAUAC